rnacentral:rRNA from 1 species
UACGAAGGGGGCUAGCGUUGCUCGGAAUCACUGGGCGUAAAGGGUGCGUAGGCGGGUCUUUCAGUCAGGGGUGAAAUCCUGGAGCUCAACUCCAGAACUGCCUUUGAUACUGAAGGUCUUGAGUAUGGGAGAGGUGAGUGGAACUGCGAGUGUAGAGGUGGAAUUCAUAGAUAUUAGGAAGAACACCAGUGGCGAAGGCGACUCACUGGUCCGGUACUGACGCUGAGGUGCGAAAGCGUGGGGAGCAAACAGG